rnacentral:rRNA from 1 species
UACGGGAGGGGCAAGCGUUAUCCGGCGUGACUAGGCGUAAAGAGUUCGUAGAUUGUAAAAUAAGUUAUUUGUUAAAGAUUAAGGCCCAACCUUAAUAAAAGCUUUUAAUACUGUUUUACUUUGAGUUUUAUACAGAAGAUUAGAAUUUUACAAGGAAGGGUGAUAUCUUUAGAUAUGUAAAAGAAUAUUAAGAGCGAAGGCAAUUCUUUAGUAAAAACUGACAUUGAGGGACGAAAGUAUGGGGAGCAAACAGG